ACGGGCUCUUCGGAGCUAGUGGCGGACGGGUGAGUAACGCGUGAGAAUCUGGCUUCAGGUUCGGGACAACAGUUGGAAACGGCUGCUAAUACCGGAUGUGCCUUAUGGUGAAAGAUUUAUCACCUGAAGAUGAGCUCGCGUCUGAUUAGCUAGUUGGUGUGGUAAGAGCGCACCAAGGCGACGAUCAGUAGCUGGUCUGAGAGGAUGAUCAGCCACACUGGGACUGAGACACGGCCCAGACUCCUACGGGAGGCAGCAGUGGGGAAUUUUCCGCAAUGGGCGAAAGCCUGACGGAGCAAUACCGCGUGAGGGAGGAAGGCUCUUGGGUUGUAAACCUCUUUUCUCAGGGAAGAAUAAUGACGGUACCUGAGGAAUAAGCAUCGGCUAACUCCGUGCCAGCAGCCGCGGUAAUACGGAGGAUGCAAGCGUUAUCCGGAAUGAUUGGGCGUAAAGCGUCCGCAGGUGGCAAUGUAAGUCUGCUGUCAAAGCGUCUGGCUCAACCAGAUAAAGGCAGUGGAAACUACAUAGCUAGAGUAAGGUAGGGGUAGAGGGAAUUCCUGGUGUAGCGGUGAAAUGCGUAGAGAUCAGGAAGAACACCGGUGGCGAAGGCGCUCUGCUGGACCUUAACUGACACUGAGGGACGAAAGCUAGGGGAGCGAAUGGGAUUAGAUACCCCAGUAGUCCUAGCCGUAAACGAUGGAUACUAG
rnacentral:rRNA from 1 species